rnacentral:rRNA from 2 species
UUAAGUUAUUAAGGGCGCACGGUGGAUGCCUUGGCACUAGAAGCCGAUGAAGGACGUUACUAACGACGAUAUGCUUUGGGGAGCUGUAAGUAAGCUUUGAUCCAGAGAUUUCCGAAUGGGGAAACCCAACAUGAGUUAUGUCAUGUUAUCGAUAUGUGAAUACAUAGCAUAUCAGAAGGCACACCCGGAGAACUGAAACAUCUUAGUACCCGGAGGAAGAGAAAGAAAAUUCGAUUCCCUUAGUAGCGGCGAGCGAAACGGGAAGAGCCCAAACCAACAAGCUUGCUUGUUGGGGUUGUAGGACACUCUAUACGGAGUUACAAAGGACGACAUUAGACGAAUCAUCUGGAAAGAUGAAUCAAAGAAGGUAAUAAUCCUGUAGUCGAAAAUGUUGUCUCUCUUGAGUGGAUCCUGAGUACGACGGAGCACGUGAAAUUCCGUCGGAAUCUGGGAGGACCAUCUCCUAAGGCUAAAUACUCUCUAGUGACCGAUAGUGAACCAGUACCGUGAGGGAAAGGUGAAAAGCACCCCGGAAGGGGAGUGAAAUAGAACCUGAAACCGUGUGCUUACAAGUAGUCAGAGCCCGUUAAUGGGUGAUGGCGUGCCUUUUGUAGAAUGAACCGGCGAGUUACGAUUUGAUGCAAGGUUAAGCAGUAAAUGUGGAGCCGUAGCGAAAGCGAGUCUGAAUAGGGCGUUUAGUAUUUGGUCGUAGACCCGAAACCAGGUGAUCUACCCUUGGUCAGGUUGAAGUUCAGGUAACACUGAAUGGAGGACCGAACCGACUUACGUUGAAAAGUGAGCGGAUGAACUGAGGGUAGCGGAGAAAUUCCAAUCGAACCUGGAGAUAGCUGGUUCUCUCCGAAAUAGCUUUAGGGCUAGCCUCAAGUGAUGAUUAUUGGAGGUAGAGCACUGUUUGGACGAGGGGCCCCUCUCGGGUUACCGAAUUCAGACAAACUCCGAAUGCCAAUUAAUUUAACUUGGGAGUCAGAACAUGGGUGAUAAGGUCCGUGUUCGAAAGGGAAACAGCCCAGACCACCAGCUAAGGUCCCAAAAUAUAUGUUAAGUGGAAAAGGAUGUGGCGUUGCCCAGACAACUAGGAUGUUGGCUUAGAAGCAGCCAUCAUUUAAAGAGUGCGUAAUAGCUCACUAGUCGAGUGACACUGCGCCGAAAAUGUACCGGGGCUAAACAUAUUACCGAAGCUGUGGAUUGUCCUUUGGACAAUGGUAGGAGAGCGUUCUAAGGGCGUUGAAGCAUGAUCGNNNNNNNNNNNNNNAAGGACAUGUGGAGCGCUUAGAAGUGAGAAUGCCGGUGUGAGUAGCGAAAGACGGGUGAGAAUCCCGUCCACCGAUUGACUAAGGUUUCCAGAGGAAGGCUCGUCCGCUCUGGGUUAGUCGGGUCCUAAGCUGAGGCCGACAGGCGUAGGCGAUGGAUAACAGGUUGAUAUUCCUGUACCACCUAUAAUCGUUUUAAUCGAUGGGGGGACGCAGUAGGAUAGGCGAAGCGUGCGAUUGGAUUGCACGUCUAAGCAGUAAGGCUGAGUAUUAGGCAAAUCCGGUACUCAUUAAGGCUGAGCUGUGAUGGGGAGAAGACAUUGUGUCUUCGAGUCGUUGAUUUCACACUGCCGAGAAAAGCCUCUAGAUAGAAAAUAGGUGCCCGUACCGCAAACCGACACAGGUAGUCAAGAUGAGAAUUCUAAGGUGAGCGAGCGAACUCUCGUUAAGGAACUCGGCAAAAUGACCCCGUAACUUCGGGAGAAGGGGUGCUCUUUAGGGUUAACGCCCAGAAGAGCCGCAGUGAAUAGGCCCAAGCGACUGUUUAUCAAAAACACAGGUCUCUGCUAAACCGUAAGGUGAUGUAUAGGGGCUGACGCCUGCCCGGUGCUGGAAGGUUAAGAGGAGUGGUUAGCUUCUGCGAAGCUACGAAUCGAAGCCCCAGUAAACGGCGGCCGUAACUAUAACGGUCCUAAGGUAGCGAAAUUCCUUGUCGGGUAAGUUCCGACCCGCACGAAAGGCGUAACGAUUUGGGCACUGUCUCAACGAGAGACUCGGUGAAAUCAUAGUACCUGUGAAGAUGCAGGUUACCCGCGACAGGACGGAAAGACCCCGUGGAGCUUUACUGUAGCCUGAUAUUGAAAUUCGGCACAGCUUGUACAGGAUAGGUAGGAGCCUUUGAAACGUGAGCGCUAGCUUACGUGGAGGCGCUGGUGGGAUACUACCCUAGCUGUGUUGGCUUUCUAACCCGCACCACUUAUCGUGGUGGGAGACAGUGUCAGGCGGGCAGUUUGACUGGGGCGGUCGCCUCCUAAAAGGUAACGGAGGCGCUCAAAGGUUCCCUCAGAAUGGUUGGAAAUCAUUCAUAGAGUGUAAAGGCAUAAGGGAGCUUGACUGCGAGACCUACAAGUCGAGCAGGGUCGAAAGACGGACUUAGUGAUCCGGUGGUUCCGCAUGGAAGGGCCAUCGCUCAACGGAUAAAAGCUACCCCGGGGAUAACAGGCUUAUCUCCCCCAAGAGUUCACAUCGACGGGGAGGUUUGGCACCUCGAUGUCGGCUCAUCGCAUCCUGGGGCUGUAGUCGGUCCCAAGGGUUGGGCUGUUCGCCCAUUAAAGCGGUACGCGAGCUGGGUUCAGAACGUCGUGAGACAGUUCGGUCCCUAUCCGUCGUGGGCGUAGGAAAUUUGAGAGGAGCUGUCCUUAGUACGAGAGGACCGGGAUGGACAUACCUCUGGUGUACCAGUUGUCGUGCCAACGGCAUAGCUGGGUAGCUAUGUGUGGACGGGAUAAGUGCUGAAAGCAUCUAAGCAUGAAGCCCCCCUCAAGAUGAGAUUUCCCAACUUCGGUUAUAAGAUCCCUCAAAGAUGAUGAGGUUAAUAGGUUCGAGGUGGAAGCAUGGUGACAUGUGGAGCUGACGAAUACUAAUCGAUCGAAGACUUAAUCAA